rnacentral:rRNA from 1 species
UGAGUGGCGAACGGGUGAGUAUCACGUGAGUAACCUGCCCUGAACUCUGGGAUAAGCCUGGGAAACUGGGUCGUAAUACUGGAUAGGACUGGCCGAUCGCAUGGUGGUUGGGUUGAAAGCUUGAGGCGGUUUUGGAUGGACUCGCGGCCGUAUCAGUUUGUUGGUGGGGUAAUGGCCUACCAAGGCUUUGACGGGUAGCCGGCCUGAGAGGGUGACCGGCCACACUGGGACUGAGACACGGCCCAGACUCCUACGGGAGGCAGCAGUGGGGGAUAUUGCACAAUGGGGGAAACCCUGAUGCAGCGACGCCGCGUGAGGGAUGACGGCCUUCGGGUUGUAAACCUCUUUCAGUUGGGAAGAAGCCCUUCGGGGUGACGGUACCUUCAGAAGAAGCACCGGCUAACUACGUGCCAGCCGCGGC